CUGGACUUGGCAGCACACAUACUAAAAAUGAAACAAUACAGUGAAGAUUAGUAUAGCCCCUGCACAAGGAUGAUGCUUAAAUUUAUGAAGCAUUCCAUAAAACA
ensembl:snRNA Gm23275 U6 spliceosomal RNA